AACGAACGCUGGCGGCAGGCCUAACACAUGCAAGUCGAGCGGACCCUUCGGGGUUAGCGGCGGACGGGUGAGUAACGCGUGGGAAUAUGCCCUUCUCUACGGAAUAGUCCUGGGAAACUGGGGGUAAUACCGUAUACGCCCUUUGGGGGAAAGAUUUAUCGGGGAAGGAUUAGCCCGCGUUGGAUUAGGUAGUUGGUGGGGUAAUGGCCUACCAAGCCGACGAUCCAUAGCUGGUUUGAGAGGAUGAUCAGCCACACUGGGACUGAGACACGGCCCAGACUCCUACGGGAGGCAGCAGUGGGGAAUCUUAGACGAUGGGGGCAACCCUGAUCUAGCCAUGCCGCGUGAGUGAUGAAGGCCUUAGGGUUGUAAAGCUCUUUCAGCUGGGAAGAUAGUGACGGUACCAGCAGAAGAAGCCCCGGCUAACUCCGUG
rnacentral:rRNA from 1 species